CACAGUUUGAGGAACUCGCCUGAUGUCACAGAGAAAGAAAACCAGGAUCCAAAGCCACCAACAUAGAGCACUUUCUGUGGCUCCCUUGCUGCCCCUCACCCCUGCUGGUCUCCAUGUCCUGCAACAGGCCAGGGCAGGGUUACCUAUAAAAGGGGUUCAGGCCCAUCCCACUCUCCUGCUGUGGUAGUUCUACUACUUUUUUUUUUUUCAUUUUUUUUCCUCUUGCAAAUAAAUAGGCUUGAAUCCCAGCUGCAAGGACCACGCCAGAUGCCCGCUUUGUCAUUCUUUCAAUUGCUCACCUGGCUUCAAGACCUUCCCUGCUCAGUCUGGCCACCCUCCCCUCUCAGCCUUCCUCGGGUGGCCACACCCAGCUUUCUUUCUUCCUAUCCUAUUCAGUCCUCUGGCUUCAAGGCCAGGUUUUCAUUUCGCUAUAUAAACCUUGCUUCAGGUGUUAUUUUAUGGACAGGCUCUAGAGGAAAAAAAAAAAAAAGCAGUCAAUAAAUAUGUGUUGAAUUGUGUGCUAAACUCUAGACAAAGAAAGGAAAAUCUUUGGAUCGCGAAGACGACAGAAAGGCUGCGGGUGGGGGCGGGGCAACCAUGAAUUUGACUCUUCCUCCUGCUCUCGGGGUCCUCUUUGGAUGCCUCCCUCCCACCCUGGGCCGGCCAGGCCGCCACCGCGUGUUUAGCCUUAGUGCUGUCAUCUGAUUACGGUAACAUCCAAACAGAUUGAAGCCCCAAAUCAAUGCCAGAGCAGAAGUGCACGCGCGGGGGGGUGGUUUCCUUGGAAAUGCUUCAGUUAUAAUUAACCUCCAAAGAGAGCCAUCCAAACAAGUUCCUUGACCCUCUGGGGAGAAGAAGGAACAAUGGAACUGCAAGGGAAGCCAUUUCUGCCAGCCGCGGGGGCGUGUGUGCCCGCGCCGGGUCCCACCUUCGCAGCGCACUGUCCAUAGAUGGCCUCUGACAGUCCCAGUAUUCAAACGUCGGGGCCGGGGGUUGGCGGCUGCGGUGCCUGCUGCUGCCACGGCUGAGAUCAUGCCGUUGGUCUUGUUUUACCGAGAGCAGCCCAGCCUGUUGUGCCGAGUACAGAACGUUCUCUUCUGUGAACUGAGCUUGAACUCUUCCAACCCACUUUGUUUGAGGAACCACACAGACACAGAAGAAAACGACAGGGAAGAUAACCCCCCAAAUCCUUGAAAUCCUGGUGUUCGCUGCACUUUGGGUUUGGGCCAUUCGCUUUGCACGACUCAGAAUGAAAAAAAUCCCAAGCAUUACACUUCUUGGAAGAACAAAAUGCUUGUGAUGU
rnacentral:lncRNA from 1 species